CCUACGGGAGGCAGCAGUGAGGAAUAUUGGUCAAUGGCCGAGAGGCUGAACCAGCCAAGUCGCGUGAGGGAAGAAUGUCCUAUGGAUUGUAAACCUCUUUUGUCAGGGAGCAAAGUCACCCACGUGUGGAUGUUGGAGAGUACCUGAAGAAAAAGCAUCGGCUAACUCCGUGCCAGCAGCCGCGGUAAUACGGAGGAUGCGAGCGUUAUCCGGAUUUAUUGGGUUUAAAGGGUGCGUAGGCGGGUUAUCAAGUCAGCGGUAAAAUCGUGGAGCUCAACUCCAUCCAGCCGUUGAAACUGAUGAUCGUGAGUGGGCGAGAAGUAUGCGGAAUGCGUGGUGUAGCGGUGAAAUGCAUAGAUAUCACGCAGAACUCCGAGUGCGAAGGCAGCAUACCGGCGCCCGACUGACGCUGAAGCACGAAAGCGUGGGUAUCGAACAGGAUUAGAUACCCGAGUAGUC
rnacentral:rRNA from 1 species